UGUCACUAAUGUGUUUGAUAUUGUGGAUAUGAUCAAGGCCCUGUUUCUUUUUGAGUGAUAACUACUUGGCCAAACUUAACCUACCUUGUGAGAUAGUGAUCUUUUGUGUCCCCUGUUGAGCCUUAAAAUUGUGAAAAUUGUUUGUUUUAUAAACCCUGAAACCAAAAGAAUGGAAAAACAACUACUCUACCCUUGUCUUAGGAUAGGAGAGCAAUUGUAUUUCAAUUAGGGUCAUGUUAAAAAUUCAAGUUGGGGAGAAGUAGGUUACAAAUGUCAUAAAAAUAAUUUGGAAAAGUAGUGGAUUGGGUGAUUGAAAAGAGAAAAAUGUUGAAAAUAAAAGAUUGACACAAAAAGAAAGAAAAAGAAAAAUUUGUGAAAAAGAAAGUGUCAUUGUAAAGAAAGAAAAGAAUCACCAAUGAAAUAGGGGAGAAAGAAAAGAAAGGGAGUAAA
rnacentral:lncRNA from 1 species